GACGAACGCUGGCGGCGUGCUUAACACAUGCGAGUCGAACGGAAAGGCCCUUCGGGGUCCUCGAGUGGCGAACGGGUGAGUAACACGUGGGUGAUCUGCCCUGCACUUUGGGAUAAGCCUGGGAAACUGGGUCUAAUACCGAAUAGGACCACGCGCUUCAUGGUGUGUGGGGGAAAGCUUUUGCGGUGUGGGAUGGGCCCGCGGCCUAUCAGCUUGUUGGUGGGGUAAUGGCCUACCAAGGCGACGACGGGUAGCCGGCCUGAGAGGGUGACCGGCCACACUGGGACUGAGAUACGGCCCAGACUCCUACGGGAGGCAGCAGUGGGGAAUAUUGCACAAUGGGCGCAAGCCUGAUGCAGCGACGCCGCGUGAGGGAUGACGGCCUUCGGGUUGUAAACCUCUUUCAAUAGGGACGAAGCGCAAGUGACGGUACCUAUAGAAGAAGCACCGGCCAACUACGUG
rnacentral:rRNA from 1 species